rnacentral:rRNA from 1 species
UACGUAGGGGGCAAGCGUUGUCCGGAAUUAUUGGGCGUAAAGCGCGCGCAGGCGGCCUUUUAAGUCUGAUGUGAAAGCCCACGGCUCAACCGUGGAAGGUCAUUGGAAACUGAAAGGCUUGAGUACAGAAGAGGAAAGCGGAAUUCCACGUGUAGCGGUGAAAUGCGUAGAGAUGUGGAGGAACACUAGUGGCGAAGGCGGCUUUCUGGUCUGUAACUGACGCUGAGGCGCGAAAGCGUGGGGAGCAAACAGG